CCUUUAAGUAGUUAGUAACAUCUAGCACAGCAUGAAGCUGUCCGCCAGAUCUCUUUACGCUUGAGUCACGUUUUUGCUCUCGAGAUUCUAAUUGGGAAUUUUGAGGUUCAGGACUGGUUUGUGGGGUAUCAAUUUGGGAAUUACCGAUUUGCUGUGCUAACUUUGAAAAAUUGUCAGGCGCAUGCCCGGCAUAACUCAUGAUGUUCCACUUGGCACCAGUUGCUUUGUGGACAUGUGCGUGCCAUCUGGUGGUAAAGAUAUUAGUAGUACGAUACGGGAUUUGACUAAUCAUCAAAACGGUUAUAAAGAUGUUAAACUGGCCUAACCCUUGUACAAGGUGUCCACCGGACGCACACACACACACACACACACACACACACACACACACACACACACACACACACACACACACACACACACACACACACACACACACACACACACACACACACACACACACACACACAAACACACACACCCAA